CUGGGAAUCUUGCGCAAUGGGCGAAAGCCUGACGCAGCGACACCGCGUGUGGGAAGACAGCCUUCGGGUUGUAAACCACUGUGGCGAGGGAUGAAUUUUGACCGUACCUCGCUAGAAAGCACCUGCUAACUACGUGCCAGAAGCCUCGGUAAUACGUAGGGUGCUAGCGUUAUCCGGAUUUACUGGGCGUAAAGCGUCCGUCGGCGUCUGAUUAAGUCUUUUGUUUAAGCCUGGGGCUCAACUCCAGAAAAGCAGCAGAUACUGAUCAGAUUGAGUCUGUUUGGGGGAACUAGAAUUCUCGGUGGAGGGGUGAAAUCCGUAGAUAUCGAGAGGAAUACCAGUCGCGAAGGCGGGUUCCUAAAACAGUACUGACGCUCAGGGACGAAAGUCUGGGUAGCAAAAGGG
rnacentral:rRNA from 1 species